AACUCAAGCAAUCAGAAAACGGCUAUCGGCUAAAUUGAAUUAUCGUGUAUUUUACAGACCUAAGACAAAUACAUAGUUUAUACCAAGUCCUGAUAAUAAUUGGCUUAGCUGGCAUGCUAUUUCUCUUAAUAUUUGCACUUGGAAAGCUUGUAUUUACCUUUUGAAGGCACAUUAUAUUAAUUUGAACGUUUAAUGCGCAAAAACGUGUUAUAUUUAUGGCUUCAUUAAAAAGAAGAUUUUAAAGUACCAAAUUAUCAGCUUGAAUUGGCAUGUUUGUGGUAUUCUUUUCAUACAGCAGAAGAAAAGUGAGUUGCGAAGAUUGCGUACAAUGAGCGAGAGAUGUUAUCUUUCAAUAUGUGAGAUAAAAAGAAGAAAGCGAAACCUCAUCCCGCGUUGUUAUUGUUUUUCUGUCAAAAACUUGAAGCUGUUUUAUAAAUCUUGAUAAAGUUAAUAAAUUGUUUUCGUUUCUAUA